rnacentral:rRNA from 1 species
GACGAACGCUGGCGGCGUGCUUAACACAUGCAAGUCGAACGGUAAGGCCCUUCGGGGUACACGAGUGGCGAACGGGGGAGUAACACGUGGGUGAUCUGCCCUGCACUUCGGGAUAAGCCUGGGAAACUGGGUCUAAUACCGGAUAGGACUCCUGGCUUCAUGGUUGGGGGGGGAAAGCUUUUGCGGUGUGGGAUGCGCCCGCGGCCUAUUAGCUUGUUGGUGGGGUAAUGGCCUACCAAGGCGACGACGGGUAGCCGGCCUGAGAGGGUGACCGGUCACACUGGGACUGAGAUACGGCCCAGACUCCUACGGGAGGCAGCAGUGGGGAAUAUUGCACAAUGGGCGCAAGCCUGAUGCAGCGACGCCGCGUGAGGGAUGACGGCCUUCGGGUUGUAAACCUCUUUCAGCUAUGACGAAGCGCAAGUGACGGUAGUAGCAGAAGAAGGACCGGCCAACUACGUGCCAGCCGCCGCAGUAA